AUAUCAAUAAGCGGAGGAAAAGAAACUAACAAGGAUUCCCCUAGUAACGGCGAGUGAAGCGGGAACAGCUCAAAUUUGAAACCUGGCGUCCUUAGGGCGUCCGGAUUGUAUUCUAGAGAAGCGUCUUCCACGCUGGUCCACGUAUAAGUGCCCUGGAACGGGCUGUCAUAGAGGGUGAGAAUCCCGUCCUUGACGUGGGCUACCAGUGUUUUUGUGAUGCGCUUUCUAAGAGUCGAGUUGUUUGGGAAUGCAGCUCAAAGUGGGUGGUAAAUUCCAUCUAAAGCUAAAUAUUGGCCUGAGACCGAUAGCGAACAAGUACCGUGAGGGAAAGAUGAAAAGCACUUUGAAAAGAGAGUCAAACAGUACGUGAAAUUGCUGAAAGGGAAACGCUUGAAGUCAGUCGCGCCCCCUGGAAUUCAGCCCUGCUUUUGUAGGGUGUACUUUCCAGGGGGCGGGCCAACAUCAGUUUUGACCGGCAGAUAAAGGCUGGGGGAAUGUGGCUCCUUCGGGAGUGUUAUAGCCCUGGGUGCAAUGCCCUCGCGGGGACCGAGGUUCGCGCAUCUGCAAGGAUGCUGGCGUAAUGGUCAUCAGCGA
rnacentral:rRNA from 1 species